GAAGAAGAAGAGGCGUUGCAUUCAGAGAGAAGAGAGAUACUGAAGAAAGAGAGAGGCGGAGAACGAGAAAGCAGAAGAGAGGAGGGAAUAGUAAAGAAUUCAGGAAUAGCCUUUUUUUUUUUUGGUCUACGUAAACGUUAGGUUUUCCGUAGAUCAAGGAAAAGUCAACCGCUUUUACGUUGCAACAACACGAGGACAGAGAGAGGAGAGACGGCACGGAAGAGCUUCUCUUUGUACUUCAAAUAAGUGGAGACGCUACUGCUGGUUUGUAGGCUCUCCUAUACCUUUAUACGCUCUAUUCUAAUACCGUAAAUGAACAAUUAUAUAGGCUUUUUAUUUUAAUCUAUAUAUUUUUUUUAAAGUCAAUUUGAUUUGGAAACCACGAAGUGAACCUAAUGCCGUGUUCUUUUUUUGCAAGAAGGGAACAAUAGCAGUAAUCUAGCUGAAUUGUCUAGCUACUCUUUAUGAGAAUCACGGCUGUUUAGCGACCAACAAUACAAAACAAGGCGUCUGAAAUUCGCUCUACCACCACAACUUCCAGGAUCUUCUCCAUCGGACCGACCAUGGCUGCGGUUACCAGCCCAGAGACGAGCCCUCAACCCCGGGUAUAUUUCCAGACGGUAGCCUCCGGUUCAACCGAAGAACCGGAGAUACCUGUUCGGAAACAAGGGCGAGUAACCGUCAAAUAUGACCGGAAAGAACUAAGGAAGAGACUAAAUCUGGAGGAAUGGAUAAUCGACCAGCUAACGGCUCUUUACAACUGUGAGGAGGAGGCUAUACCAGAGUUGGAGAUAGAUGUGGAUGAGCUGCUGGACAUGCCUAGUGAUGAUGACAGAGGAGCCAGAGUUAAAGAUCUCCUGGUAGACUGUUACAAACCUACUGAGGACUUUGUGUCAGAUCUGCUGGAUAAGAUACGUGGCAUGCAGAAGCUCACCACCCCCCAGAAGAAAUAACCUCAACCCUGAGUCACCCCUCCUCUUCACCCCCUGCCUCCUCCCGCCUCCCUCCCUCACUCCAACCUCACCCCACAGAAGAAAUAGGAGCUUGGCUUCCUCAGAGAUGGAGGAGGAAGAGGGAGGAGAAAAAGAGGAGAGAAGGGGCAGAGGAGUAAGAGAGGUGAUUGAAGCAGCCAAUCACAUCUAAGCAGGGUGUAUGAUGUCCUGUGAUUUUUAUUUUAAUGUUUUAUUUAGUUUACAUUUAUUUAGAUUACAUUUUUUUAAAGGUGGUUUGUAUUGUUGUUAAAUGAUCAAGCGAUCGGUCAUAUUUCUCAUGUUAAUGAGUGAACAUAGCAUACUAUAUUGUAGCUGUAAGCCAAGCCCAGGAUAUAUUCUGAGUUUUAGUAGCCAAGCCAGGAUAUAUUCUGAGUUUUAGUAGCCAAGCCCAGGUUAUAUUCUGAGUUUUAGUAGCCAAGCCCAGGAUAUAUUCUGAGUUUUAGUAGCCAAGCCCAGGACAUAUUCUGAGUUUUAGUAGCCAAGCCCAGGAUACAUUCUGAGUUUUAGUAGCCAAGCCCAGGAUACAUUCUGAGUUUUAGUAGCCAAGCCCAGGAUAUAUUCUGAGUUUUAGUAGCCAAGCCCAGGAUAUAUUCUGAGUUUUAGUAGCCAAGCCCAGGAUGUAUUCUGAGUUUUAGUAGCCAAGCCCAGGAUAUAUUCUGAGUUUUAGUAGCCAAGCCAGGAUAUAUUCUGAGUUUUAGUAGCCAAGCCCAGGAUGUAUUCUGAGUUUUAGUAGCCAAGCCCAGGAUAUAUUCUGAGUUUUAGUAGCCAAGCCCAGGAUGUAUUCUGAGUUUUAGUAGCCAAGCCCAGGAUAUAUUCUGAGUUUUAGUAGCCAAGCCCAGGAUAUAUUCUGAGUUUUAGUAGCCAAGCCCAGGAUAUAUUCUGAGUUUUAGUAGCCAAGCCAGGAUAUAUUCUGAGUUUUAGAAUGAGUCCCAAAAUGGCACGUUAUUUAUUACCUUCUAUAGUCCAUUACAUUUGACCAGGGCUCUGGUCCAAAGUAGUGGACUAGGUUUUAAGGGUGCCGUUUGGGGAUGGGAGAGACUCCUAUGUAUAGUACAGUGUGUGUGUGUGUGUGUGUGUGUGUGUGUGUGUGUGUGUGUGUAGUCUAGACCUCAGUGAAAACACAGACCGGGGGACUUGACAAAGUGACCUUUUUUUCCUCUUUAGUUCUAUCUCUUUAUCACUGUUUAUUGUUCUGUCAGAUAUUUCAUGUUCCAUAAUGUGCAGGUGUAAGGCCUUUGUCAGUGAGGACUCUUGUAGAGAGAUUUCAGGAGACGAGUAAACCAAUGAGGGAGGGAGGGAGGGACGGAGGGAGGCACUGGGUAGUGGAAAAUGUGUCGAUGUGUUCAUCCAGAUAGCCACACACACACCCAGGGAACAGCAGAAACACAGACCACAGCUGCUGCUCCUUCAUACUCUCACACAGAUGUGAACACUGGUACACACACACAUAAACACACACUGGCUCUCUCUCGUCAACACACACACGGGAAGGAGGGGGGGUAUAAUCAUUGAGAGAGGGAUAAAUGGAGAAAAAGAGGGAGAAUCAGAGGUCUUACUCUUCCUGGCUUGGCUGCCUCACAAGGCCUUAGUGUUGCCAAUCAUGCAGCUCUCUCACUCACCCCAUGUCUCUCUUUGGCCCUCACUCCUUCCUCUGUCUCCUUCCCUUUCUACUUCCAGCAAUCUACAGAUGACUCCAUCCCUCCCUCCAUCUCUCUCUCUCCUCUCCCUCCAUCUAUCCCUCUCGCUCUCUCCUUCCCUCCCUCCAUCUAUCCCUCUCGCUCUCUCCUUCCCUCCCUCCAUCUAUCCCUCUCGCUCUCUCCUUCCCUCCCUCCAUCUAUCCCUCUCGCUCCCUCCCUCCAUCCCACCAUCCCUCCCUCCUUCCCACCAUCCCACCCUCUCCCUCCUUCCCUUCCAUCUCUCUCUCCCUCCUUCCCUUCCAUCUCUCUCUCCCUCCUUCCCUUCCAUCUCUCUCUUCCUCCUUUCCUUCAUCCAGCUCUAUCCUUCCAUCCCUCCAUCUCUUGUUUAAUAACUGACGUUGCCUUAGGUCUAUAUUGAAGUUACAAACCAAAUAAAAGGAGACGUCCAUUUUUAACAACAAUUUUUAAACAAAAAAAAAUGAUCCUGUUGUUGUUUAGGAAGAGGUCAUCUAGAGGUCAUCUAGAGGUCAUCUAGAGGUCAUCUAGAGGUCAUCUAGACCUCUUUACGUUCUUUUAGAUGUGAAUAUCUAUUCUAGGUCAAUUAUUACUGUGUGUACUAUUAUAAUACCUGGUGCGCAUCCCAAAUGGAACCCUGUUCCCUAUAUAUAGGGAAUAGGGUGCCAGCCCUGGUCUAAAGUAGUGCCCUAUAUAGGGAAUAGGGUGCCAGCCCUGGUCUAUAGUAGUGCCCUAUAUAGGGAAUAGGGUGCCAGCCCUGGUCUAUAGUAGUGCCCUAUAUAGGGAAUAGGGUGCCAGCCCUGGUCUAUAGUAGUGCCCUAUAUAGGGAAUAGGGUGCCAUUUGAGAAGCGGCCCCUGAUAACCUGUUGUUGCGUGUCAGACCUUUUUCUUUUGUUACUGUACGACAACUUUGACUGUUGAAAUGCUGUUUUAGAAGUGAUGUGUUUUUAAUAAGAAACUGAAGAACGAAAAUGUAGCGACAGGGUUUUUGUUUUACCACAAUGCUGUUACACUUUUAUGCAACUUUAAUAAACAAAAUAUGUUAAAAGGGGGUGUGUUCAUGUGGUGGGUGUGACAACACUGACACUGGGAAUGGUUUUAACACCACCUGCAGGAUGUUUGUCACUAUGUAACUACUGUAGCUAAUGCAUCAAUACUGUCUUCACAAUCCCAGGGUGUUAGGGAUUGUGUUUCUGUGUCCCAAAUAGCUUAUUCCCCCCCCAAGGACAAAUUCCACUGCAAAUGCCAAUAGAAUAGAAUGGGGCUAUAGUGGCAUCUUCAGCUCUCUGGAUCUUUUCUAAUGUACUGUAUACUGAACCAAACUAUAAACUCAACAUGUAAAGUGAUGGUUUCAUCAACUGAAAUAUAAAAUCCCCAAAAUGUUCCAUACAUACAAAAUGCUUAUUUUUCUAAUUUGGUGCACAAAUUUGUUUACAUCCCCUGUUGGUGAGUAAUUUCUCCUUUGUUAAGAUAAUCCAUCCACCUCACAGCUUUGGUAUAUGAAGAAGCUGAUUAAACAGCUUAUUGCUGGCGUCAAUAAAAGGCCACUCUAAAAUGUGCAUUUUUGUCACAACACAAUACCACAGAUGUCUCAAGUUUUGAGGGUGCGUGUAAUUGAAUGUUCAUUUCUCUACCAUAAGCCACCUCCAAUAUCGUCUUAGAGAAUUUGUCAGUACGUCCAAUCGGCUUCACAAACGCAGACCACGUGUAACCACGCCAGCCAACGACCUCCACGCCAGCCAAGGACCCGUCCACGCCUGGCUUCUUCACCUGCGGGAUCGUCUGAG
rnacentral:lncRNA from 1 species